GAUGAACGCUGGCGGCGUGCCUAAUACAUGCAAGUCGAGCGAACGGACGAGAAGCUUGCUUCUCUGAUGUUAGCGGCGGACGGGUGAGUAACACGUGGAUAACCUACCUAUAAGACUGGGAUAACUUCGGGAAACCGUAGCUAAUACCGGAUAAUAUUUUGAACCGCAUGGUUCAAAAGUGAAAGACGGUCUUGCUGUCACUUAUAGAUGGAUCCGCGCUGCAUUAGCUAGUUGGUAAGGUAACGGCUUACCAAGGCAACGAUGCAUAGCCGACCUGAGAGGGUGAUCGGCCACACUGGAACCGAGACACGGUCCAGACUCCUACGGGAGGCAGCAGUAGGGAAUCUUCCGCAAUGGGCGAAAGCCUGACGGAGCAACGCCGCGUGAGUGAUGAAGGUCUUCGGAUCGUAAAACUCUGUUAUUAGGGAAGAACAUAUGUGUAAGUAACUGUGCACAUCUUGACGGUACCUAAUCAGAAAGCCACGGCUAACUACGUGCCAGCAGCCGCGGUAAUACGUAGGUGGCAAGCGUUAUCCGGAAUUAUUGGGCGUAAAGCGCGCGUAGGCGGUUUUUUAAGUCUGAUGUGAAAGCCCACGGCUCAACCGUGGAGGGUCAUUGGAAACUGGAAAACUUGAGUGCAGAAGAGGAAAGUGGAAUUCCAUGUGUAGCGGUGAAAUGCGCAGAGAUAUGGAGGAACACCAGUGGCGAAGGCGACUUUCUGGUCUGUAACUGACGCUGAUGUGCGAAAGCGUGGGGAUCAAACAGGAUUAGAUACCCUGGUAGUCCACGCCGUAAACGAUGAGUGCUAAGUGUUAGGGGGUUUCCGCCCCUUAGUGCUGCAGCUAACGCAUUAAGCACUCCGCCUGGGGAGUACGACCGCAAGGUUGAAACUCAAAGGAAUUGACGGGGACCCGCACAAGCGGUGGAGCAUGUGGUUUAAUUCGAAGCAACGCGAAGAACCUUACCAAAUCUUGACAUCCUUUGACAACUCUAGAGAUAGAGCCUUCCCCUUCGGGGGACAAAGUGACAGGUGGUGCAUGGUCGUCGUCAGCUCGUGUCGUGAGAUGUUGGGUUAAGUCCCGCAACGAGCGCAACCCUUAAGCUUAGUUGCCAUCAUUAAGUUGGGCACUCUAAGUUGACUGCCGGUGACAAACCGGAGGAAGGUGGGGAUGACGUCAAAUCAUCAUGCCCCUUAUGAUUUGGGCUACACACGUGCUACAAUGGACAAUACAAAGGGCAGCGAAACCGCGAGGUCAAGCAAAUCCCAUAAAGUUGUUCUCAGUUCGGAUUGUAGUCUGCAACUCGACUACAUGAAGCUGGAAUCGCUAGUAAUCGUAGAUCAGCAUGCUACGGUGAAUACGUUCCCGGGUCU
rnacentral:rRNA from 1 species